UUACUGGGUGUAAAGGGAGCGUAGGCGGGGAUGCAAGUUGGGUGUCAAAACUACCGGCUCAACCGAUAGUCGCACUCAAAACUGCAGCUCUUGAGUGAAGUAGAGGCAGGCGGAAUUCCUAGUGUAGCGGUGAAAUGCGUAGAUAUUAGGAGGAACACCAGUGGCGAAGGCGGCCUGCUGGGCUUUUACUGACGCUGAGGCUCGAAAGUGUGGGGAGCAAACAGGAUUAGAUACCCUGGUAGUCCACACCGUAAACGAUGAUCACUAGGUGUGGGGGGUCUGACCCCUUCCGUGCCGGAGUUAACACAAUAAGUGAUCCACCUGGGGAGUACGGCCGCAAGGUUGAAACUCAAAGGAAUUGACGGGGGCCCGCACAAGCAGUGGAGUAUGUGGUUUAAUUCGAAGCAACGCGAAGAACCUUACCAGGUCUUGACAUCGUGCGCAUAUCCUAGAGAUAGGAGAAGCCCUUCGGGGCGCACAGACAGGUGGUGCAUGGUUGUCGUCAGCUCGUGUCGUGAGAUGUUGGGUUAAGUCCCGCAACGAGCGCAACCCUUGUAUUUA
rnacentral:rRNA from 1 species